rnacentral:rRNA from 1 species
UCUAAGCCAUGCGAGUCAACAUAGCAAUAUGUGGCAUACGGCUCAGUAACACGUANUCAACAUGCCCAGGGGACGUGGAUACCUCGGGAAACUGAGGAUAAACCGCGAUAGGUCAUCACUUCUGGAAUGGGUAAUGACUUAAAUCUAUGUGGCCCCUGGAUUGGACUGCGGCCGAUCAGGCUGUUGGUGAGGUAAUGGCCCACCAAACCUGUAACCGGUACGGGCUCUGAGAGGAGGAGCCCGGAGAUGGGCACUGAGACAAGGGCCCANGCCCUAUGGGGCGCANCAUGCGCGAAACCUCUGCAAUAGGCGAAAGCUUGACAGGGUUACUCUGANUGAUUUCCGUUAAGGAGAUCUUUUGGCACCUCUAAAAAUGGUGCANAAUAANGGGUGGGCAAGUCUGGUGCCAGCCGCCGCGGUA